rnacentral:rRNA from 1 species
UACGGGGGGGGCAAGCGUUGUUCGGAAUUACUGGGCGUAAAGGGUGCGUAGGCGGCUUUCUAAGUCGGAUGUGAAAACUCCGGGCUCAACCCAGAGCCUGCAUCUGAAACUGGAGAGCUAGGGUUCUGGAGGGGAAAGCGGAAUUCCUGGUGUAGCGGUGAAAUGCGUAGAUAUCAGGAGGAACACCGGUGGCGAAGGCGGCUUUCUGGACAGAUACCGACGCUGAGGCACGAAAGCUAGGGGAGCAAACAGG